rnacentral:rRNA from 1 species
UGGGGAAUAUUGCACAAUGGGCGCAAGCCUGAUGCAGCCAUGCCGCGUGUAUGAAGAAGGCCUUCGGGUUGUAAAGUACUUUCAGUCGGGAGGAAGGUGGUAAGGUUAAUAACCUUAUCAAUUGACGUUACCGACAGAAGAAGCACCGGCUAACUCCGUGCCAGCAGCCGCGGUAAUACGGAGGGUGCAAGCGUUAAUCGGAAUUACUGGGCGUAAAGCGCACGCAGGCGGUUGAUUGAGUCAGAUGUGAAACCCCCGGGCUUAACCCGGGAAUUGCAUCUGAUACUGGUCAGCUAGAGUCUUGUAGAGGGGGGUAGAAUUCCAUGUGUAGCGGUGAAAUGCGUAGAGAUGUGGAGGAAUACCGGUGGCGAAGGCGGCCCCCUGGACAAGGACUGACGCUCAGGUGCGAAAGCGUGGGGAGCAAACAGG